rnacentral:snoRNA from 1 species
AUCUCAUGAUGUGGACAUCGUCUCUGUAGUUAUUUAAAUCUCUCCUAAGCAUGAUAUAAGGAUUCAUUUUCAAAUUGUGUGAAUGAGGUUAUAUCAUUCCUCAUCUU